AGCGAACGCUGGCGACAGGCCUAACACAUGCAAGUCGAACGAACCCUUCGGGGUUAGUGGCGGACGGGUGAGUAACACGUGGGAACGUGCCUUUAGGUUCGGAAUAACUCAGGGAAACUUGUGCUAAUACCGAAUGUGCCCUUCGGGGGAAAGAUUUAUCGCCUUUAGAGCGGCCCGCGUCUGAUUAGCUAGUUGGUGAGGUAAUGGCUCACCAAGGCUACGAUCAGUAGCUGGUCUGAGAGGAUGACCAGCCACAUUGGGACUGAGAAACGGCCCAAACUCCUACGGGAGGCAGCAGUGGGGAAUCUUGCGCAAUGGGCGAAAGCCUGACGGAGCAAUACCGCGUGGAGGAUGACGGCCCUCGGGUUGUAAACUCCUUUUAAAUGGGAAGAUUAUGACGGUACCAUUUGAAUAAGCAUCGGCUAACUACGUGUCAGCAGCCGCAGUAACAC
rnacentral:rRNA from 1 species